rnacentral:sRNA from 1 species
GGGGAUGCCUGAUCGAUUCCGGUGCCUGGAGCAGAGGAUGCGGAAGUACCGCUCGCAUUCCGUGCCGCGCGGCUCCCGAUUCAGC